rnacentral:rRNA from 1 species
AACGGAUUUGACGGCGAAAUAGCCCAUCUAGAGGAACCUGCCCUUUAAACGAUAGACCACGAGAUAUCUUACUUUUGUUAGUAAACAGUUUGUAUACCGCUGUUGUUAGUUAGUUUUAUUAGGAAACUUUCUUAAAUGAUUUUAUCAUUUACUUCAAGUAAAGGGGCAGCUUAUAUAAAAGUAAGUGGUGGGUUACAAUUAAUAGAUUAUUAUGAAUUAAUAAAUGAAAUUAGCUUUAUUAUGAAAUUGGAUUUAGAUGUAAGUUUUAAAGAAAUUGAUAAGCGCACUAUUUUGUGUACAUACCGCCCGUC